AUCAAGGACCAGUCUCACCCCGUGCAUUUUAUCGGGAUGCAUCACAGCUCGGUUUGGGAACAGCUGCGUCCAAGACCGCCAGAAACUGCAGCGAAUUGGGGCCGCAGCCCAGACCGUGACACAAACCAACCUCCCUUCCAUUGACUCCAUUUAUACCUCAUGCUGCCACGGCAAGGCUGCAGCAUAAUCAAGGAAGAGCUGCACCCUGCCCACUCCCACUU